rnacentral:rRNA from 7 species
AAGUCUAAAACGACUCUCGGCAACGGAUAUCUCGGCUCUCGCAUCGAUGAAGAACGUAGCGAAAUGCGAUACUUGGUGUGAAUUGCAGAAUCCCGUGAACCAUCGAGUCUUUGAACGCAAGUUGCGCCCCAAGCCUUUGGCCGAGGGCACGUCUGCCUGGGUGUCACAA